rnacentral:rRNA from 1 species
GACGAAGGUGGCAACCGUUGUUCGGAAUCACUGGGCAUAAAGAGCACGUAGGCGGGCCUGUAAGUCGGGUGUGAAAUACCUCGGCCCAACCGAGGAACUGCGCCCGAUACUGCAGGCCUUGAGGACAGGAGGGGAGCGUGGAAUUCCUGGUGGAGCGGUGAAAUGCGUUGAUAUCAGGAGGAACACCGGCGGCGAAGGCGACGCUCUGGCCUGUUUCUGACGCUGAGGUGCGAAAGCCAGGGGAGCAAAC